GGGGAAGGAAGGUAGUGGGGCAAUGUAAACAUGGGGGAGAGAGGGGAAGGUAGUGGGGCAAUGUAAACAUGAGGAGAGAUGGAGAGAGGGGAAGGAAGGUAGUGGGGCAAUGUAAACAUGAGGGAGAGAUGGAGAGAGGGGAAGGAAGGUAGUGGGGCAAUGUAAACAUGGGGGAGAGGGGGGAAGGUAGUGGGGCAAUGUAAACAUGGGGGAGAGAUGGAGAGAGGGGAAGGAAGGUAGUGAGAAAAAGAAGAGCUGUACGGAAGGCUGGAGUGAUGGGGUGAACACUGUCAGAGAAGAAAACGUGGAGAAAGGGAUGGAGAAACAGAUGAGUGUUUCCCAACAACAGGUCAGGACCUAUUGGGUCGCUGCUAUUCCUUUUGGGACACACCUAAACACAAGAUUAAACCCAAACACACUGCUUUGGUUUAUUGGGCAGGC
ensembl:lncRNA